GAGUUUGAUCGUGGCUCAGGAUGAACGCUAGCGGCAGGCUUAAUACAUGCAAGUCGUGGGGCAGCACAGGUAGCAAUACUGGGUGGCGACCGGCAAACGGGUGCGGAACACGUACGCAACCUUCCUUUAACUGGAGAAUAGCCCCUCGAAAGAGGGAUUAAUACUCCGUAACAUGUUGAUAAGGCAUCUUAUUAAUAUUAUAGCCUUCGGGCGGUUGAAGAUGGGCGUGCGCCUGAUUAGAUAGUUGGCGGGGUAAUGGCCCACCAAGUCUGCGAUCAGUAACUGGUGUGAGAGCACGACCAGUCACACGGGCACUGAGACACGGGCCCGACUCCUACGGGAGGCAGCAGUAAGGAUAUUGGUCAAUGGACGCAAGUCUGAACCAGCCAUGCCGCGUGGAGGAUUAAGGCCCUCUGGGUUGUAAACUCCUUUUAUCUGGGAAGAAAUGCCAUUUUUCUAAAUGGUUUGACGGUACCAGAGGAAUAAGCACCGGCUAACUCCGUGCCAGCCGCCGCUGUAAU
rnacentral:rRNA from 1 species